rnacentral:rRNA from 1 species
AUUGAACGCUCGCGGGAUGCUUUACGCAUGCAAGUCGAACGGCAGCGCGGACUUCGGUCUGGCGGCGAGUGGCGAACGGGUGAGUAAUGUAUCGGAACGUGCCCAGUAGCGGGGGAUAACUACGCGAAAGCGUAGCUAAUACCGCAUACGCCCUACGGGGGAAAGCAGGGGAUCGUAAGACCUUGCACUAUUGGAGCGGCCGAUAUCGGAUUAGCUAGUUGGUGAGGUAACGGCUCACCAAGGCGACGAUCCGUAGCUGGUUUGAGAGGACGACCAGCCACACUGGGACUGAGACACGGCCCAGACUCCUACGGGAGGCAGCAGUGGGGAAUUUUGGACAAUGGGGGCAACCCUGAUCCAGCCAUCCCGCGUGUGCGAUGAAGGCCUUCGGGUUGUAAAGCACUUUUGGCAGGAAAGAAACGUCGCGGGCUAAUACCCCGUGGAACUGACGGUACCUGCAGAAUAAGCACCGGCUAACUACGUG